rnacentral:rRNA from 1 species
ACGAACGUUAGCGGCGCGCUUAACACAUGCAAGUCGAGCGAGAAAGGGAGCAAUCCCCGGUACAGCGGCGCACGGGUGAGUAACACGUAGGUAAUCUGCCUUCGAGUGGGGGAUAACCUUCCGAAAGGAGGGCUAAUACCGCAUAAGACCACGCCUUCGAGAGGGGGAGAGGUCAAAGCCGGCCACUAUGCAUAAGCUGGCGCUUGGAGAUGAGCCUGCGGCCCAUCAGCUAGUUGGUAGGGUAAUGGCCUACCAAGGCUAAGACGGGUAGCUGGUCUGAGAGGAUGAUCAGCCACACUGGAACUGAGACACGGUCCAGACUCCUACGGGAGGCAGCAGUGGGGAAUCUUGCGCAAUGGGCGAAAGCCUGACGCAGCGACGCCGCGUGGGUGAUGAAGGCCUUCGGGUUGUAAAGCCCUGUGGAGGGGACGAAUAAGUCAUGGCUAAUAUCCAUGGUGAUGACGGUACCC